rnacentral:rRNA from 1 species
UACGAGGGGUGCAAGCGUUGCUCGGAAUUAUUGGGCGUAAAGGGUUGGUAGGUGGUCUUGUUUGUCUAAGGUGAAAUCCCAGGGCUUAACCCUGGAAGUGCCUUAGAAACGGCAAGACUAGAGUCCUAGAGGGGUUUGUGGAAUUCCCGGUGUAGCGGUGAAAUGCGUAGAGAUCGGGAGGAACACCAGCGGCGAAGGCGGCAAACUGGAUAGGUACUGACGCUGAGGCGCGAAAGCGUGGGGAGCGAACAGG